UACGUAGGUGGCGAGCGUUGUCCGGAUUUAUUGGGCGUAAGGCGCGCGCAGGCGGUACGGCAAGUCCUGUGUGAAAUCUCCCGGCUCAACCGGGAGGGUGCGGAGGAGACUGUCGAACUGGAGGGACCGAGAGGCCGGUGGAAUUCCCGGUGUAGUGGUGAAAUGCGUAGAGAUCGGGAGGAACACCCGUGGUGUAAACGGCUUUCUGGACCAUAACUGACGCUGAGGCACGAAAGCGUGGGUAGCAAACAGG
rnacentral:rRNA from 1 species